rnacentral:rRNA from 1 species
GUCGGUCUCUGCCUGACAGGGGCGUGGUUGUCUGAGGGGAAGUUGCCCCUAGUACGAGAGGAACAGGGCAGCGCAGCCUCUGGUUUAUCAGCUGUCCGACAGGGCAAGCUGAGCAGCUAAGCUGCUUUGGAUAACUCCUGAAAGCAUCUAAGGAGGAAGCCUUUCCCGAGAAAAGACAGCCUUCCGUAAGGAGGAGGGCGGCUAUAGAAGAUAGCGUUGAUGGGAUGGAGGUGUAAGCAUCAAGCUAUGGCGAGAUGUUCAGCCUGCCAUUUCCAAUAGCCCAAGGCACCUGAAAU